rnacentral:rRNA from 1 species
AGUGAACGCUGGCGGUAGGCCUAACACAUGCAAGUCGAACGGCAGCACAGUAAGAGCUUGCUCUUACGGGUGGCGAGUGGCGGACGGGUGAGGAAUACAUCGGAAUCUACUUUUUCGUGGGGGAUAACGUAGGGAAACUUACGCUAAUACCACAUACGACCUACGGGUGAAAGCAGGGGAUCUUCGGACCUUGCGCGAUUGAAUGAGCCGAUGUCGGAUUAGCUAGUUGGCGGGGUAAAGGCCCACCAAGGCGACGAUCCGUAGCUGGUCUGAGAGGAUGAUCAGCCACACUGGAACUGAGACACGGUCCAGACUCCUACGGGAGGCAGCAGUGGGGAAUAUUGGACAAUGGGCGCAAGCCUGAUCCAGCCAUACCGCGUGGGUGAAGAAGGCCUUCGGGUUGUAAAGCCCUUUUGCUGGGAAAGAAAAGCAGCAGGUUAAUACCCCGCUGUUCUGACGGUACCCAAAGAAUAAGCACCGGCUAACUUCGUG